rnacentral:rRNA from 1 species
ACGUGCUACAAUAGUUGGUACAACGAGUUGCGAGUCGGUGACGGCGAGCUAAUCUCUUAAAGCCAAUCUCAGUUCGGAUUGUAGGCUGCAACUCGCCUACAUGAAGUCGGAAUCGCUAGUAAUCGCGGAUCAGCACGCCGCGGUGAAUACGUUCCCGGGCCUU